UCCUCCCUCUUUCUUCGUGCCUAAUACAUGCAAGUCGAACGCUUCUUUCCUCCCGAGUGCUUGCACUCAAUUGGAAAGAGGAGUGGCGGACGGGUGAGUAACACGUGGGUAACCUACCCAUCAGAGGGGGAUAACACUUGGAAACAGGUGCUAAUACCGCAUAACAGUUUAUGCCGCAUGGCAUAAGAGUGAAAGGCGCUUUCGGGUGUCGCUGAUGGAUGGACCCGCGGUGCAUUAGCUAGUUGGUGAGGUAACGGCUCACCAAGGCCACGAUGCAUAGCCAACCUGAGAGGGUGAUCGGCCACACUGGGACUGAGACACGGCCCAGACUCCUACGGGAGGCAGCAGUAGGGAAUCUUCGGCAAUGGACGAAAGUCUGACCGAGCAACGCCGCGUGAGUGAAGAAGGUUUUCGGAUCGUAAAACUCUGUUGUUAGAGAAGAACAAGGACGUUAGUAACUGAACGUCCCCUGACGGUAUCUAACCAGAAAGCCACGGCUAACUACGUG
rnacentral:rRNA from 1 species